rnacentral:misc_RNA from 1 species
AAAUAAAGAAGCUGACUACAGAACCACAAGUUAAAAGGCUUUAUAUCCGUCCAAAAAGGCUUUAUAUUCGUCCAAGGUUCGACCAAACAGGUACCCACAUCGCCUUAAAGAUCCCAAAAGAUCAAAAUGAAGGAUUCUUAAACUGACUCAUAGGAUCAGCCGUCUUUCCAGACCUAGCAUCAGUCCAUGCUUUGGCAAUCGUACGUUUCAUGUCCUCAUCGCCUUCCUCAUACAUAUUCUUCAUGAGAUCCAUUAUUCCUGCCAUUGGGUCUUUGUCUUUAUCAGUGCUUGGGGG